AAAAAUUUAGUUAAAUUAUAACAUUAGUCCGUCAAGCUAAAAUUAUUUAUUGAAAAAUAAUUUUUA
rnacentral:tRNA from 1 species